UACGAAGGGGGCUAGCGUUGCUCGGAAUUACUGGGCGUAAAGCGCACGUAGGCGGUCUUUUAAGUCGGGGGUGAAAUCCUGGAGCUCAACUCCAGAACUGCCUUCGAUACUGGAAGACUUGAGUCCGGGAGAGGUGAGUGGAACUGCGAGUGUAGAGGUGAAAUUCGUAGAUAUUCGCAAGAACACCAGUGGCGAAGGCGGAGCU
rnacentral:rRNA from 1 species